rnacentral:rRNA from 1 species
CCUACGGGAGGCAGCAGUAGGGAAUUUUGCGCAAUGGGCGAAAGCCUGACGCAGCAAAACCGCGUGAAUGUUAAGCCCUUCGGGGUGUAUAGUUCUGUCAAUAGGGACGACUUUUGACUGUACCUAUAAAGGCAGCACCGGCUAACUCCGUGCCAGCAGCCGCGGUAAUACGGCGGGUGCAAGCGUUACUCGGAAUCACUGGGCGUAUAGAGCGCGUAGGCGGGAUAGCAAGUCAGAUGGGAAAUCGUAUGGCUUAACCAUAGAACUGCAUUUGAAACUGGUAUUCUAGAGUAUGGGAGAGGUAGGUGGAAUUCGUGGUGUAGGGGUAAAAUCCGUAGAGAUCAAGAGGAAUACGCAGUGCGAAGGCGACCUGCUAGAGCAUAACUGACGCUGAUGCGCGAAAGCGUGGGGAGCAAACAGGAUUAGAUACCCCAGUAGUC